CCAUUCCCCAAACUACCCUCUUGGAUCACACUAUAAAUAGGGCAAUCAUUGCCAAUCAUUGCGUGCGAAUUUUUAUGAUUAAAACGAGUUUUGCACUCUUUCCCUAACCCUUAGUACACGCUCACUCCAUUGUUGUGAGAGCUUCAUCAUUCGAAGCUCUACACAGCAGAGCUGAACCGCCAAUUAACACUCCACUCUCACCAUUGCUUUCACGUGUGGACUCGCAAGAAGAAGACAGUUCCGGAAGUAAGAAGAAGAAGAAGAGAAGCGCGAAGAAGGAGAAGAAGUGUACCUGUGCUCGGUGUCGUCGCUGUCGCCGUCUCUAUCGUCGUAUCCGGAAGUGCAAGCAUCUGUAAUUUCAAUGACUUAGGCGAGGCCUUUGUCAAGAAGUAUAAGUAUAAUGUGGAUAUGGCGCCAGAUAGAGACCGGUUGAGGUCGAUGUCUUAGAAGGAUAAGGAGACGUUCAAAGAAUAUGCACAGAGACGAAGAGAAUUAGCUGCUCAGAUAAGUCUGCCUCUUGAAGAGAAGGAGAUGACUAAGAUCUUCUUGAAAACGCUGAGUUCGUUUUAUUACGAACGUAUGAUUGCAAGUGCCCCUAAUGAUUUUACCGAAAUGGUAAACAUGGGGAUGAGGCUAGAUUAUCCAAAAGCGUACGGGAAGUGACUUCGUGUUUUCAAUUUCAUCCUCCUCCUCUUAAAGCCAAAAAUUGGAUAUUGACAAAAUAAAGUAUGAGUGGCCACGAAUGGGUUUAUUCAAAACAUGCAUAUUCAUUUCAAUGUCAUUAUUAUUCAAAAACAAACGAGUUUAUUACCAAUGAAUGUUACAAAUGACAAUCAAGAAAAUCACACAUGAACAUGAUUGAACCAAACUAAUGACUACGAGCAUAAUUGGCCUUAUUCAAAUCCUCAGACUGGAAUUUUUAGGCUGGCAGCAGAUAACAUGACUAUCUUCAAGGAUACCCUUCUCAAACUCUUCUCAUAGGCGCAGACUCUUCAAACCUACCCUAGCUUCCAUUUGUAUUGAUCACGACGUUCCAGAUGCACCCUCUUGCGGAGGCAUGGGAGUGUGCACUAUGUUCAGGCCUUGUAGCGUGAACAUAAUAGCCCUUGAAUCAAUCAAGGCUUGUAUCUUGUGCUUGAAGACAUUGCAAUUCUCGAUCAAGUGCCCUGGCGUUCCAGAGUGGUACUCACAACUGACAUUCAUGUCAUAAUCUGGAGGAAGAGGUAUUGGAGGGGCCUUAGCUUCCCUCAGCUGCACCAAUGAGCUAUUAAGCAACAGGGGUAGAAGUCGACCAUACGACAUGGGCACUGGAUCAAACUGCUUUGGAGGCCUUCUUGGUCCCUGUUUUCUUUGUUGAGCGAAGUUUCGUUGCUGAUUUGGAUACUGGUUUUCCAUAGGGUUCCUCUGCCUUGGCCGGGGAACAGGAAAUGACCGCUGAUAUGGAGCCCUUUGAGGUAUAGGAUGUGGAUGAAAUCCACGAGGCUGCUCCCGAGGUGGAAGGGGGUCAGGCAUGUUCAUCGGAGUGGCCACUUCUGGUACAACAGUUGGCACGGGAUUGCUUUCCUUCCUUAGCAUCGACUGCAGGAUCUCCAUGAUCAGACUCAUCUGAGUCUUCAGCUGGUUGAUUUCAACCUUCAAUGCUUCUUGACCUCUUCGUAGUUCUUCCAUGGUGGUCUGUGACAUGCUUCUAGUUCAAGACAGAUAUCAGGAAAUCAACUUUGUUGGAAGUGGUUUGUCUGAUAGAAGGCCAAGUGAUAGUGAGAUUAGUCUCAUGAAAUGCAAGAUGCUAUGUGAAUUAUGCAUGAGUAUUAUAUCUUCUUGUAUCAUUUAUGAUGCAUGAAUGCAUGGAUGAACGGAUAGCAUAUAAACCCAUUCGUGGCCACUCAUACUUUAUUUUGUCAAUAUCCAAUUGUUGGCUUUAAGAGGAGGAGGAGGAUGAAAUUGAAAACACGAAGUCACUUCCCGUACACUUUUGGAUAAAACCCGACUGAUGAUGUAAGGCAUUGUUUCAAGUCCCAAACACUGGAGAUAUAAGGAAGAUAAUCCCUAGUUAACCCCUUCGAGCCAAGGAGUGGGAGUUUCUUUCUAUGCAUUAAAACCCUCAAUCUUAAACCAGGACAGGGUAGUCGUCAGUCAGUUUGACCAAGCGUUCAAACUUCAAAAGAGGAGCGUCUCAGUUGAGGAUCAACCAUACCAUAUCCCUCACAAGAGGUCGGAAACCAUCAAAUUCCAAACGGUUGUCCCUCACCCACAGAGGCACGAGCCGGUCACAACUUUCAAAUCAAACGGAUAGAUACAUAAUUCGUUUCAAAAUAAGAAACAAGAAGAAACAAAAACAAAGAAAAAGAAAGCCCGCUAAGUCGAAAGCUCAAAAACGAGUGACUUAGGCAAAAAAUUAGGGCAUCCCUGUGGAUUGUAAAUAUGAACCAAUCCAGCAAAAAUAGGGAAAUGAAAAAACAAAUUUGCAAAAGAGGAAUCAAAAGAAAACCCCCAGCAAGAACAAAUUCGUGUGGUUACAAACCAAACAAGAGAAGGGUGACUGCCACACCAAAAACCUUGUGGGUUCAUUAACCAUCACUCCCAAAUCCCUUUUGGAAGACGAGCGCUUGUGUCGAAUUAGCUGAACGUAGAACUGGAGAACAUCACGAAGAGCGGGUGGGUUAGGAUAGGUUCGAGCCUUAUAUCCUUUCUUUCUGAAACCGUGAACCAGACCACGUUACAACCCUCAAAAGACCUAAUUGAAGCAGGGUUUAUUUCGAAAGCGUACUAUGGUCAGAACAAUCGUGUUAAAACUGACUCCUCAACAAUUCGCUCAUAAUUUGUGUUGAUAUUGAUAUGACAUUCUCAACCAGUGAUGCAUUAAUUAUAUGUCAUAAUUCCGGUGAGCAUGCUUGGAUUUCAAAACUGCAUAAACAUGACAUUGCUAUUAUCAUUUCCAAAUAUGAACAUGUGUUACCCGUGAGUAAGCAUUUGACGUCAAAAGAGUUUUCAUAAUGAACGUGACUUGGAAAGCUUGGUGACCCCAGAAGAGAAUGAUGCCUAAAGACUUUGUUAAGCAGAGGCAAAUUACUUCAACUGAUUGGAUCAUAAGACAGAACACCUGAGAACUCCAUUGAGCAGAGACAGGUCGCCUUGAUUUGAUCGUACUCAUAGAGACAAACGCCUGAGACUCCGUCGAGCAGGGGAAAAUUAUUUUGAUUGAUAACAACAAGUUUUGAACUCCUAAGACUUUGUUGAGUAGCGACCAGUCACUUCAUUUGAUUAUAUCAAGAAGCAAAAUGUCCAAGAACUUCGUUAAGCAGAAGGACAAGAUGUUUCAUAUUUCAAUCAAUCCGAGACAGUUACAUCGAGGGAUUUCAACAAGAUCCAGUUAGUUUGAGACAGUUAUGUCGAGAUUCGGCGAAUCUCUCCAAAGAUCAGAUAAUCAAGGAAGUAAAUCACCCCUGUUGAUCGCAUCAGAAGACCAAACGCAUGAGAACUCCGUCGAGCAGGGGAAAAUUAUUUGGAUUGAUCCUAACAAGUGUUGAACGCCUGAGACUCCGUUGAGAAGCGACCAGUCACUUCAUGUGGUUAUAUCUAAGAAGCAGAAUGUCUAAGAACUCCGUUAAGCAGAAAAGAUAAGACACUUCAAUUUUCAGUCAAUCUGAAGCAAUCACGUAAAUGAAUCUCUACAAAUUGAUUGGUCUAAGGAAGUUAUGUCGAGAUUCGAUAAAUCGCUACGAGACAUUAGUCAGGGGCAUUCCCUCGGAGAUUUUCUAGCCAGAGGAAAAUUUAUUCCAAGACCUAUAUUGGGGCAGGCUACCUCAGGAAUCCAAGAAGUCAAUCUCUCAGAGAUAGUGAAUUAGAGGUGUACAGUUCCAAGAUACUGAGGCAGGUCAGAUCGAGAUGGCUAUCAUGACAAAGUUGCUUCAUAACUGGUGACUGGGGCAACACAUGCAGAGUUCCAAUUGACAGGGGCAUGACUGACUAGAGAAGGAAGAUCCUUUAUGUACUUUUGAGGUUGUUCAGAGCAAGAUCCAUGGUGCAUAAAAGACUUCUAAGUUCAAGAUGAAUAUCGGGGAAUCACGCUAAACACCCCCCCCCUAAACCCUUAAGCAGAAACCACUGAUCUUAAUUGAUAAAUCUAAUGGUUACUGGUACCCAAUGUUCUCAAUCUCCUGGUAUUUCCUACCAUACCGUCUAACCAAAAGCUUGACCACGCAUCAUCAUUGCAUAAUCAAUCAUUCAUUACAUUGUAUUACAUCAUAAAGCGCAUAACAUAUUCCAUUAAGGUGGAGCAUUAUGCCUUGCAAAAUAAACAUGCAUAACUUCAUAAAAGUAUUUCUCGAAAGCGUAAAAGAAUCCUCCGUUAAGACAUUCUUCCUCCCCGGUUGCGAACAAUCUCCUAAAACCCUCGAGUGGUAUUCCCCGCAUGUUUUUCAAAACUUUCCCUUGGGUUGCCUUUAGCAAAUACCUUGGGAAUCUUCAACCAGUCACUUACCUUUCGUAAGCGGUCCACGGCCUUUUGCCUAGUGUAGCGGUGUAUUCGUUACCAUUGGAGAUAUUGACUAAAUCCAAGGUAAAUCAUACAAAGUCGAGUCGCCACCGCACUUCUAUUUAUCCAAAGGAAUGGUUAGAAAGCGAACAAAAACCUAAAAGUUUUACAAACAAAACUAGUAAAAGAAACAGAGAUCUGGUUAAGGGGGUUGGUUAUGCAAUGGGAAGGUGUUAGGCACCCAAAACAUCCUAGGUACUCCUAGGGAGCCCUUUUUACACUUGUUGCAAGGUUAUUGUUUUUGUGAAAAUUUUAUUUGUGCAAACAUGAUUGAAGAGAUGAGAAAAGAAUGUACAAGUUAUUUACAUUUUGUGUUUGGAUGGAUAAACCCAUUGCCUACGUACCCUGUUAUAAAAAGAUUAGGAUCAAAACCUCGUAGUUCGGGGUAAAAAUCUCAAAACAAAUGGGUGGAUUGAUUGGUCCAAAAGCCUUAAAGUCUUUUGUUAUCAAAGGGAGAAAACUCAACCUAAAACCACAAAUCCACCAUGUGAGGAUAGCUUCAACAUGCUGGUGAGGGGUUAACCCUAUAAUAAGCAUGGAAGACUCAUUGUCCAUCACUAAGGAUAAAGGUGAGUAUUACAUCUACCACAAAGAUAACUCAAACCUAAUAGCUAAAGGUUAUGAAAAAUCUUGAUUAAGAAAGUGGACAUUGAAACCACAAAAGAAAUUUGAAUGGGUUAUAUUUACCAAUUAGAAGUAUAUACAAAAAAUGGUCAAAGUUGACUUAAAGAUUCAAUUCAAAAUGAGUGUUAUGAAAAGAAAGUUUGAAAAUCAAAAGCAUAAGGCUUAGGUUUCUAAUGUUGAAAACAAUAGUCAAAUGUUUGCACAAAAAUGGUUUUGGCUUGAGUUAGGGUGGAGAGAUGAAGAAAAAGGUUAAGUCCUAAAGAGAACAAAAAGUGAGGGAUAAGAAAUGAAACCAUACUAGGAGUUCCUCUCUUGAGAUCAUAUAGAUGAUCCAAGUGGUUCCCAUCCUUUGGAAUAAGCAAGCACAAAGCAUAAGCAAUCAAACAGGUCUCACAAGAGAUCCUCAAUGUAUUUUGUAACUUCCACUGGGAUGAACAUGGUAAUGAUCUUCAAAUUAAGCUCAAAGGGAAAAAUCCUAGUUCAAGAGUAUACACAUCAAACAUCACACACUAUAUCCAUACAAAAAGGCUCAAACAAAUGGGUGGGCUUUACUCAAGAGGGGUCAUGUCAACCUCGCCAAACAAGCCAAACUGUACAAGGGUAAUUUGUAGCUCUUAACGACUAACAUUGAGAGUUAGGGUGAAGCUGAUCAAACAGGUAAUGAGGAUGAGACCUCAUGCUCUUAACCCUGGCCAGGGUGAGCUCGUGAUAAAGAAAGCGUGGGGAUCCAGAAAGUGAAAUCCUAUUCCACUUGACAGACACUGGACAAAGAUCUUGGGCACAUGUUCAAAAGCAUCAGCACGUAGUGCGAGCAUAAAGAACGACACACUGAAUAACGGGGGAUUGGCUACUAAUCCCCUUUAUCCGUCAAUUGCCUCUACUCUUGGAGGUCUUAACAAAGAACACAUGCCUCUCUUGGAGGUCUUUGGCACAAUUGUAAACAAACACAAACAGAGCCUCUGAAGGAGGACUUGCCAGCAAAAUGCCUGUAAAAAAGGUGACAGGACUUCCAGACUACAUGAAGUAAGAAGAUAACUACCUAAGUGGUGUGUCAACCAUAAUCCAAAGCUCAAGCAAGAGCUAAAAGCAAGCAACUAAGGUACCUGUACAAAGGCUAAACAGUUAAUACUUCAGUUAUAAAACCAACAGACAAACAGUGAAUCCUUCCAACAAUUACACAAUCCAAUGAACAAUGCCCAAGCAUUCAAAUGAACUCAUGAGCUCAAGCACAUCACUUAAAAUCCUACAAAACAAACAAAAGUUAGAACUCAAAUCAUUUGCAUCUCACAAAUUGAGAACAAAUCAACCAUCAAUGCUAAAUGUCCAAACCUGAAACACAAAGCACAGUUAGUUUAUGCACAAAACACUAGUACAAAGACUAAGUUCAAAACCAAACCAAAUGAUCAAAACAGAACUCAAUCUUCCAUAUAAUGCACAUUCAAACAUUCCAUUUAAUGUCCUCAAAAGGACCAUCAUCAGUUCAAUAAGCAAAUAUCUCAAAUGGCCUAUGCUAUGCAAUGAUCACAAAAUGUGCACAAAGUGAACUUCCAACUUAGAAAAUCCAAAUCAAAACAGAAAUGAAUGCAAUGACCUUGAUAUUUUUUGUACAAGUUUCUCAUGUCAUGAACAAGCAAUAUGCAAAAGAUCAGAUCCAGAAAGAUUCAAAUGCUAUGUGAACAAAAAUGUGACAAUUCAAUGUCAAAAAUGUGACACAAAUUGUCACACUUUUCUCUAUGUGUCAAAAACAAUGAUAGCAUAUGAGAAAAAUUCCAAACCAGUGAUCAAAAAUUCACAUCAUGUAUGAAUAUGAAGCAUACAAAAAAUUGGAUCAAGAAGCUCAACAUAUAGAAUUUCACAAAGCAUUGAACACAAUAGGUCAAAAUGGCAUCACAUGGAUUCAAAAAUUCACACAUCACAAACCAGACAUCAACAAUUCAUGAAAUUAAUACCAUAAAAAACUAGACAUCAAAACAAAACUAUGAAAAAAAAUUGGAGUUCAUUUGGAUCAUUUUUCUAUUUUUUAUGAAUUUUACAAAAUGAACAAAAUAAAUGGAAUAACAUGGAAAUAUGGAGGGAAAUUCAAAUAUUUGAAUAAAACCAGAAUAAACAUGAGCCAUCAGAUAUGGCGCGCAUGGCAAAUCAACGUUCCAGGUUUAAACAAGCAAAACGCACCGUUUCAUUUAAACGGUCAGCAUGCACAAUCAUCAAUUCAACGCUAGCGUGGCAAGGUCAAAGCAAUCAUGUCCAAACAAACGCACACACAAGCAGCCAUAUGGAACACACAUCAGCACAAAACCCUAGCACGCAGACGCCGGAGCUACAGUCUUCGGUCGUCUUCUCCAGCCAACCACGCGGUGGCGCCGCCGUGAAAAUUACCAGAAAUGCAAAAGGCUUACAUCAUUCGAACCAGUUUUCCAUGGAGAUUCCAAAUAUGCAAUCCAAAUCUCCUAAUUCCUCAUGGAUUUUCCAGAUCGAAGCAAAACAUUAUCCAGAUCUAAACUUAAAGUUCAUCAUACAUGCUCAAUUCUUAACCAUUUUCAAAUCUAAACAUAUCUACAAGCUCUACUAAUCAAGAUCUACACAUCUAUAUCAAGAAAACAGCAAAAGGAGAGGAUCGAAUUUGCAUCACCUGGAAUUGAAGGUUGCUGAAAUCGUGUUCUCAAGAGCUCCAAUGCUCCAGAUCUUCUUCUUUAAUCUUCCUAUGAAGCUUUAAGCAAAAAGAAUCAGUUUAAACCACCUGGAUCUACUUCAAUUUUCAGAUUCCAUUGCCAUGAGAUUACACAUGAACUGCUCGAAACCUAGCCGAAUUGCUCAAAACAAUGGUUGAUUCUUGCUCAAUGAAUCAUGAUGAUCAAGAAUCUGCAAGAAUUUUUGGUGUUUGUGUGGAGGAAAAUGAAAUUCGAAAUGAGAGAAAAUUGGAGGGAGUUUUGAAUAUUCAGAUCUGAAAUGGUUCUCUCCCUUAGUUAGGAUUAGGGCUUGAGCUUUUAUAUCCCAUGCUAAUGAUGCUGCUAAUCACUUAAGCCAAUGGUUAAUCAAGAUUAAGGAGAUAUGAAGCUGUAGCACCUCAAAUUUGCACCCCCCAUUCAUGCAUUCAUUUCAUUUUUUAGGUCAUUUAUCAUUCCAUAUUGCAUUGCAUCUUGGCAGUCAGCAUUGGCAUCAAGAGAUUCAUCAGUACAAAAGAGCAAGUUUUUCCUUGAGAUGAAGGCCACAUGAUUAUUCUAAAAGAGCUUAUAUGAGCCAAGGUUCAUUUUGAAGCAACUUUACCAAGUGGUAGAGGCCCAAAUUCAUCAGUGCAUCUCCAGGUCAUCUGAGGCCCAUAAAAGUCAACUGUGCAGUCAACUGAGGGCUUUGAGGUGGAGAAAUGGUUUGAGACACUUCAUUCAUGUCCAAAAGAGGCUUAUUCAUCAUGUCAAACAUCUACCUUGAAGAUUUUGAAGUCAAAUCAAAAGUUUCCAAAAAUGGAAAGUGACCUGUAAUUCAAGUUUCCAAAAAUGGCAAGUUUUUGGACCACAUUCAACUUGACUUUCCAACAUCAAAGAAGCUUCAAAUGAAAUUUUUGUCAACAUGAAAGUUGAAGAUCUUUCUCUUCCAUUUCCAAAAAGUUCAAGAUCAUGAGCAUCUGAUGAAUGGUUGAGGAGUUAUGAGCAAAUGAUUGCAAAGUAUGCUUGGAACUUCAGAAUGCCAUAACUUUUGCUACAAAACUCCAAAUUGAGCCACUCUUUUUGCAAAAUGCUUGUCAUGACCAAUAUUUUUCAAAUCAAACAUUGCAUUGCAUGAAAUUAACUCACAUGAUCAUUUGUCCAUGCAUGUAUAUUUUGGAGGGAAAAUGGAGAAUUCAAAUUCUAUUGAUCAUACAUGAAAAAUACCAAUGCCAUUGUGAUCUUUGGAUGAUUUUAAGUGACUCUGAACCAUGCAUGUGCACUGUUCACGUGUGAAAUCUCCAUGCACCACACACUUGCCAAAUUGGUCAUACACCUCAUUUCUCAUUAAGUUUCCAUUAGCCAAGCUUAAUUUGGAUUAGCAUGGUAAUUAACACAGGGUAUAAAUAGAUAAUCCUAACUGUUUUGCUCAGAAUACACAUUCUAGAUCUAGAAAUUUCACUUCCCUCCAAAAAUUCUCUCAAUUGAAACUUGAAUUUUCUUCACAUAACUCAUUGAUUUUACUGCAUAAUCGUGUUCAUUGAGUGUCAUUGAGUAGGAAUCAAGCAUUGAUUUGAAGAUUUGGAUCAAGAAUCGAGCUACACAAGCAUAUGAACAUGAAGAUGGAACUUGAAGUUUGAGCUAGAUCUAAGAGGUUUUCAUUGCCAAUUCGUGCACAAAGCUUCAUAACAAGGUUGGAGGAGAAGAUCUGGACAUUUUUGGAGCUUGAAUCCACGAUUUCAACUCACUGCUCUUCAAAGAGGUUGGAAUUCGAAUUUCUUGUUUCUUCAUUUUCUUGCCAUGAUCUUGUAGAGUUUUUAAUGCUGAUGAUUCUGAUAUCAAUAGAUUUUAAAAUGAUCGAGAAUUGAGUGAGAUAUGCUGAGUUGAACUUUUGAUGUGCAUUAUGUUUUCCUUCGAUUCACUUUACUCAGUGAGAAUUAGGCUUAAUGAUUGUCAGAUCCGUGUUCUACGUGACGAGACGGUUCCAAUGAUGUAUAAUAUGCUGAUUUCUGGAAAAAAAAUUGUGUCUUCUCCGCCCGGCUGGCCGGAGAAGACGGUGGAAAACACCUCCCUCCACCGUCUGCAAUUAAUGGCUUAGGGUUUACUGUACCGUGCAUAUAACCUUUGCCUCUCCAGUUCGAAUCCGUGCCACGACCUUUUUAUUUCCACUUAUUUCCUUUCCCUGGCCAAACGCUGCGUUUUGUAGUGAAAACGCUUGCAACCUAACGUUCCUCAGUUCGAUCCCAGCGUAUGUUUGUUUGGAUUUUCCAUGUUAUUUUGUGAAGCACUUCUUUUACCUUUGUGACUAGGGUUCGAACCUUGCGUUUGCCUUUUCCAUUUUUAUUUCUAAGCGCCUUUGACUGCAUGAACCUGAGUUCAACUCCUGGCCUUUGCACUUUUAAUUCCAAUUCACAUUUCAUUUUUUUAUAUGAUUCACAUUAUUUCAUUUUGUUCAUUAAUUUCAAAAAAUCACUAAAAAUAGAAAACUAAUCCAAAUUAAUUCAAUUUUUUUUCACUUUCUUGUUUCAAUGUCUAUUAUUUUGUGAUGUUAAUUUCAUGAUUUUUGCCUUGCUGGAAUUUUAAAUGUGCUUGAUUGUUUGAACAUGAUACCAAUAUGACGUGUUGUGCUAAUUGUUUUAUGAAAUGCUCAUUGUUUGUCCAAUUGCCUUGAAAUUUGACAUGCUCAUUCAUAACAUGUAACAUGAUCUUUUGGCUUUUGUUUGGAAUUUUUACCAUUUAAUCUCACUGUUUUAGACACAUGGACAUAUGUUACAACAUUUGGUGUCACAUUCUUGACCUAGCUCUUAUGCAUUUUCAUUCAUAUGCCAUUUGUUGUCUUCUGGACUUAAUUUUUGGUAUGAUGCUUGUUCAUAACAUGUCAAGUGCACAUAAAAAAUUUCAUGAUCAUUGGAUUCAUUUCUGUUUUAAUGUGGAUUUCUAUGUUUGAUGUCCAAUUGUGAUCACUUUGUUUGCCUUUGCCUUAUCUUGUUUAAUAGAUGGCUUUGCUUAAUGAUUUGGCUUUGGUCCUUUUGAGGCUUUCUUAUUGUUUGAUUGGACAUGCUUCACAUGAAAUAUUGGUUGUUUUCCUUGCCUUUGACCCUAGUCUUUGUACUAGUGGUUUGUACUCACCAAUUGUGUUUGUGUUUCAGGUAUUUAGUACUAAUGAUUGGUGUGGCCUCAUCAUUUGAGAUGCCAUUUGCUUUGUCUAUUAACCUUUGUUGUGUUGCAGGUCCCUUGAUGUGAUGAACUCACUUGAGUGAUUGCAUUUGAGACUUACCUUGUGUAUAACUGUUGGAUGAUUCCUCUAUUGUCUGUCUUGGUUUUCUGAAUGUGAAUAUUGACUGUUUGGCUUUUGUACAGGUACAUUAGUCGUUUUUAGCUCUUUCUUGAGCUUUGCUUUGGUUUGUGGUUGGUUUACCACUUAGGUAACCUCUCUUUCUCCAUGUAGUCUGGAAGUCCUGUCGCCUUUUUGGCAGGCGUUUGGCUGAAGUCCUCCUUAAGAGGCAAUGAUUGUGAUUGUUUAUAUUUGUGCUAAAGACCUCCUUGUCGAGGCAUGUUACUUGUUAAGUCCUCCUAAGUGAAGAGGCAAUUGACAGAUAGAAGGGAUUUGCAAUCAAUCCCCUGUUAAUCAGUUGAGUCUUUCAUUAUGCUCGCACUACGUGCUGAUGCUUUUGAAUAAACACCCAAGAUCUUGUAUAGAGUCAGUCAUGUGGAAUAGGGUCCCUCAUUCUGGAUCCCCACACCUUCUUUGAUUCAAGCUCACCCAGGCCAGGGUUAAGAGCAUGAGGUCUUAUCCUCAUUUCCUUUCAUCAGCUUCACCCUAACUCUCAAUGUUAGUGGUUAAAAGCUCAAAGACACCCCUACAGUUUUGGCUUGUUUGUCGAGGUUGAUAUGACCCCUUGACUAAAGCCCAACCAACUUGUCUGAGCCUCUUGUUUGUGUAUAGAGUGUGAUGAUUGCAUUUUGUGUGUUUGCAUUUAUUGCUUGUUCAUUGUUGAGGAGUUAGAUGUAAGACCAUUGAUUGGCUAUAUGUUUCCUGUUCUGUUUUGUGGAGUUAAAUGUAAGACCAUUGAUUGGAAUUCUGUUUCCAGUUCUUGUUGUUCUCUUUUGAGACUUGCUUAUAGUCUCCCCAUAGGAUUGCUAGACUUCGUAUAGUCUCUCGUUUGCAUGUCGAUUAAGGUAGCACGGUUCCUUCGUCUAGGAUUUCCUUUCUUGCGUGAGCAUUCCUAAAACACAAACAAACUCUACCUUCUCUUAACGACACGUUGACUCCUUCUACUACAGGUGAGUAAGUCUCCAAAGGUCGAGCAUCCGGUAGAUUGCGUAGUAACGUCGUUCACCUAAAAAACACAGAACAAACAGAAAUAGCUUAGCCGAACUACGGCAACUCUGAUUCUCAUGUUCAGAUGAGAUACGUAGGCACGAGAUGCGAUGUCUUGUCGAGUUUGACUGACGACUAACAUUUAA